GGUGGUGCAAUGGUUAAGCACUUGGCUGCUAACCAAAAGGUUGGUGGUUCGAACCCACCAACCA
rfam:Loxodonta africana unplaced genomic scaffold scaffold_20, whole genome shotgun sequence.